GGACUGCAGUCUGCAACUCGACUGCACGAAGCUGGAAUCGCUAGUAAUCGCAGAUCAGAAUGCUGCGGUGAAUACGUUCCCGGGUCUUGUACACACCGCCCGUCACACCAUGGGAGUCAGUAACGCCCGAAGUCAGUGACCUAACCGCAAGGAGGAGCUGCCGAAGGCGGGACCGAUAACUGGGGUGAAGUCGUAACAAGGUAUC
rnacentral:rRNA from 1 species